GACGAACGCUGGCGGCGUGCCUAAUACAUGCAAGUAGAACGCUGAAGGAGGAGCUUGCUUCUCCGGAUGAGUUGCGAACGGGUGAGUAACGCGUAGGUAACCUGCCUGGUAGCGGGGGAUAACUAUUGGAAACGAUAGCUAAUACCGCAUAAGAGUAGAUGUCGCAUGACAUUUGCUUAAAAGGUGCAACUGCACCACUACCAGAUGGACCUGCGUUGUAUUAGCUAGUUGGUGAGGUAACGGCUCACCAAGGCAACGAUACAUAGCCGACCUGAGAGGGGGAUCGGCCACACUGGGACUGAGACACGGCCCAGACUCCUACGGGAGGCAGCAGUAGGGAAUCUUCGGCAAUGGACGGAAGUCUGACCGAGCAACGCCGCGUGAGUGAAGAAGGGUUUCGGAUCGUAAAGCUCUGUUGUAAGAGAAGAACGAGUGUGAGAGUGGAAAGUUCACACUGUGACGGUAGCUUACCAGAAAGGGACGGCUAACUACGUG
rnacentral:rRNA from 1 species